rnacentral:rRNA from 1 species
CGGACGGGUGAGUAACGCGUGGGUAACCUGCCUCAUACAGGGGGAUAACGGUUAGAAAUGACUGCUAAUACCGCAUAAGCGCACAGUACCGCAUGGUACGGUGUGAAAAACUCCGGUGGUAUGAGAUGGACCCGCGUCUGAUUAGCUAGUUGGCGAGGUAACGGCCCACCAAGGCGACGAUCAGUAGCCGACCUGAGAGGGUGACCGGCCACAUUGGGACUGAGACACGGCCCAG